rnacentral:rRNA from 1 species
AUUGAACGCUGGCGGCAUGCCUAACACAUGCAAGUCGAACGGAGGUAGGGGCGAACUCUACUUCAGUGGCGGACGGGUGAGGAAUGCGUCGGAAUCUACCCUAUGGUGGGGGAUUAACACAGGGAAACUUGUGCUAAUACCGCAUAAUGUCGAGAGACCAAAAGCAGGGGACCGCAAGGCCUUGCGCGAUAGGAUGAGCCGACGCCCGAUUAGCUAGUUGGUAGGGUAAAGGCCUACCAAGGCGACGAUCGGUAGCUGGUCUGAGACGAUGAUCAGCCACACUGGGACUGAGACACGGCCCAGACUCCUACGGGAGGCAGCAGUGGGGAAUAUUGGACAAUGGGCGCAAGCCUGAUCCAGCAAUGCCGCGUGUGUGAAGAAGGUCUGC